rnacentral:lncRNA from 1 species
CAGCAAUCCUUAAUUGGCAAUUAGACAACGGUAAGACUGAGUUUUUCACCUAUAAAUAUAGGUUCAACUCAGUGUUUUCACAACAACAACAUAUACAUUUGAGUAUUUCCAUUGCUAAAAGCUUUCUUACAUUGAUCAUCAUUUUCUAUUCAUUCAUAAAGCUUUUUGAAGAGCCAUUCUAUUGAGCUAAGUUGUUGUGAUCUUGAGCGU